AGUGGUAUAGCUAUAAUUCAAGUAACAGAUUCUUACUCUGUAGAAAAACACUCGUUUUACCUCUU
rnacentral:tRNA from 1 species